rnacentral:rRNA from 1 species
AGAGUUUGAUUAUGGCUCAGGAUGAACGCUGGCGGCGUGCUUAACACAUGCAAGUCGAACGGGGUACCCUUGACAGAGGCUUCGGCCAAUUGAUAGGAAUACCUAGUGGCGGACGGGUGAGUAACGCGUGAGGAACCUGCCUUGGAGUGGGGAAUAACAGUUAGAAAUAGCUGCUAAUACCGCAUAAUGCAACUAAGUCGCAUGGCUUUGGUUGCCAAAGAUUUAUCGCUCUAAGAUGGCCUCGCGUCUGAUUAGAUAGUUGGCGGGGUAACGGCCCACCAAGUCGACGAUCAGUAGCCGGACUGAGAGGUUGGCCGGCCACAUUGGGACUGAGACACGGCCCAGACUCCUACGGGAGGCAGCAGUGGGGAAUAUUGGGCAAUGGGCGCAAGCCUGACCCAGCAACGCCGCGUGAAGGAAGAAGGCCCUCGGGUUGUAAACUUCUUUUAUUCGGGACGAAACAAAUGACGGUACCGAAUGAAUAAGCCACGGCUAACUACGUGCCAGCAGCCGCGGUAAUACGUAGGUGGCAAGCGUUAUCCGGAUUUACUGGGUGUAAAGGGCGUGUAGGCGGGAGAGCCAGUCAGACGUGAAAUUCCAGGGCUCAACCCUGG